rnacentral:miRNA from 14 species
ACGCCGAGCCUGACGUGCAAUGC